rnacentral:rRNA from 1 species
UUGCUUCUCUUGAGAGCGGCGGACGGGUGAGUAAUGCCUAGGAAUCUGCCUGGUAGUGGGGGAUAACGUUCGGAAACGAACGCUAAUACCGCAUACGUCCUACGGGAGAAAGCAGGGGACCUUCGGGCCUUGCGCUAUCAGAUGAGCCUAGGUCGGAUUAGCUAGUUGGUGAGGUAAUGGCUCACCAAGGCGACGAUCCGUAACUGGUCUGAGAGGAUGAUCAGUCACACUGGAACUGAGACACGGUCCAGACUCCUACGGGAGGCAGCAGUGGGGAAUAUUGGACAAUGGGCGAAAGCCUGAUCCAGCCAUGCCGCGUGUGUGAAGAAGGUCUUCGGAUUGUAAAGCACUUUAAGUUGGGAGGAAGGGCAUUAACCUAAUACGUUGGUGUCUUGACGUUACCGACAGAAUAAGCACCGGCUAACUCUGUGCCAGCAGCCGCGGUAAUACAGAGGGUGCAAGCGUUAAUCGGAAUUACUGGGCGUAAAGCGCGCGUAGGUGGUUUGUUAAG